rnacentral:rRNA from 1 species
GACGAACGCUGGCGGCGUGCUUAACACAUGCAAGUCGAGCGGAAAGGCCCUGCUUUUGUGGGGUGCUCGAGUGGCGAACGGGUGAGUAACACGUGAGUAACCUGCCCUUGACUUUGGGAUAACUUCAGGAAACUGGGGCUAAUACCGGAUAGGAGCUCCUGCUGCAUGGUGGGGGUUGGAAAGUUUCGGCGGUUGGGGAUGGACUCGCGGCUUAUCAGCUUGUUGGUGGGGUAGUGGCUUACCAAGGCUUUGACGGGUAGCCGGCCUGAGAGGGUGACCGGCCACAUUGGGACUGAGAUACGGCCCAGACUCCUACGGGAGGCAGCAGUGGGGAAUAUUGCACAAUGGGCGGAAGCCGGAUGCAGCAACGCCGCGUGCGGGAUGACGGCCUUCGGGUUGUAAACCGCUUUCGCCUGUGACGAAGCGUGAGUGACGGUAAUGGGUAAAGAAGCACCGGCUAACUACGU